UGCCCUAGUAACGGCGAGCGAAGCGGCAACAGCUCAAAUUUGAAAUCUGGUCUUCUGGGCCCGAGUUGUAAUUUGCAGAGGAUGCUUCUGGCAAGGUGCCUUCCGAGUUCCCUGGAACGGGACGCCAUAGAGGGUGAGAGCCCCGUACGGUUGGACACCGAGCCGUUGUGUAGCUCCUUCAACGAGUCGAGUAGUUUGGGAAUGCUGCUCUAAAUGGGAGGUAUAUCUCUUCUAAAGCUAAAUACCGGCCAGAGACCGAUAGCGCACAAGUAGAGUGAUCGAAAGAUGAAAAGCACUUUGAAAAGAGAGUUAAACAGCACGUGAAAUUGUUGAAAGGGAAGCGCUUGUGACCAGACUUGUGCCCGGUGAAUUAGCUGGUGUUCUCACCAGUCGACUUUGCCGGCUCAGGCCAGCAUCGGUUUGUUAUUGGGGAGAAAAACGAUGGGAAUGUGGCUCCUUCGGGAGUGUUAUAGCCCGCCGUAUAAUACCCUUUGGCAGACCGAGGACCGCGCAUCUGCAUGGAUGCUGGCGUAAUGGUCACCAGCGACCCGUCUUGAAACACGGACCAAGGAGUCAACCUUAUGUGCAAGUGUUUGGGUGUUAAACCCCUACGCGGAAUUAACGUGAACGUAGGUGAGAGCCUUCGGGCGCAUCAUCGACCGAUUCUGAUGUUCUCGGAUGGAUUUGAGUAAGAGCACACAGGGUUGGACCCGAAAGAAGGUGAACUAUGCUUGUAUAGGGUGAAGCCAGAGGAAACUCUGGUGGAGGCUCGCAGCGGUUCUGACGUGCAAAUCGAUCGUCAAAUAUGAGCAU
rnacentral:rRNA from 2 species